rnacentral:rRNA from 1 species
UUGCACCUGAUUGAUUUUGGUCGCCAACGAGUGGCGGACGGGUGAGUAACACGUAGGUAACCUGCCCAGAAGCGGGGGACAACAUUUGGAAACAGAUGCUAAUACCGCAUAACAACGUUGUUCGCAUGAACAACGCUUAAAAGAUGGCUUCUCGCUAUCACUUCUGGAUGGACCUGCGGUGCAUUAGCUUGUUGGUGGGGUAAUGGCCUACCAAGGCGAUGAUGCAUAGCCGAGUUGAGAGACUGAUCGGCCACAAUGGGACUGAGACACGGCCCAUACUCCUACGGGAGGCAGCAGUAGGGAAUCUUCCACAAUGGGCGCAAGCCUGAUGGAGCAACACCGCGUGAGUGAAGAAGGGUUUCGGCUCGUAAAGCUCUGUUGUUAAAGAAGAACACGUAUGAGAGUAACUGUUCAUACGUUGACGGUAUUUAACCAGAAAGUCACGGCUAACUACGUGCCAGCAGCCGCGGUAAUACGUAGGUGGCAAGCGUUAUCCGGAUUUAUUGGGCGUAAAGAGAGUGCAGGCGGU